rnacentral:ncRNA from 1 species
UUAAAUACAAUGAUGAAGAGAUGACAAGAUAACGGUUGAUGCAGAGAGCUGAUGGUUGGUGAAAAUCAGUGAUACCUUCUUGAAUAGCACUUCUGAGUAGGCUUAUCGAAUAACAGUAGGUAAGUUCCGGGAUCUCCGUUAUGAAUUGAGUUAUGUAAUGAAUGUAUUUACAUAAAUGAGGGUGGUACCGCGCUUAAUCGCCCCUCAC